GACGAACGCUGGCGGCGUGCCUAAUACAUGCAAGUAGAACGCUGAAGGAGGAGCUUGCUCUUCUGGAUGAGUUGCGAACGGGUGAGUAACGCGUAGGUAACCUGCCUGGUAGCGGGGGAUAACUAUUGGAAACGAUAGCUAAUACCGCAUAAGAGUAGAUGUUGCAUGACAUUUACUUAAAAGGUGCAAUUGCAUCACUACCAGAUGGACCUGCGUUGUAUUAGCUAGUUGGUGGGGUAACGGCUUACCAAGGCGACGAUACAUAGCCGACCUGAGAGGGUGAUCGGCCACACUGGGACUGAGACACGGCCCAGACUCCUACGGGAGGCAGCAGUAGGGAAUCUUCGGCAAUGGACGGAAGGCUGACCGAGCAACGCCGCGUGAGUGAAGAAGGGUUUCGGAUCGUAAAGCUCUGUUGUAAGAGAAGAACGAGUGUGAGAGUGGAAAGUUCACACUGUGACGGUAUCUUACCAGAAAGGGACGGCUAACUACGUG
rnacentral:rRNA from 1 species